GUCCACGCCGUAAACGAUGUCGAUUUGGAGGCUGUGUACUUGAGACGUGGCUUCCGGAGCUAACGCGUUAAAUCGACCGCCUGGGGAGUACGGCCGCAAGGUUAAAACUCAAAUGAAUUGACGGGGGCCCGCACAAGCGGUGGAGCAUGUGGUUUAAUUCGAUGCAACGCGAAGAACCUUACCUGGCCUUGACAUGUCUGGAAUCCUGUAGAGAUACGGGAGUGCCUUCGGGAAUCAGAACACAGGUGCUGCAUGGCUGUCGU
rnacentral:rRNA from 1 species